GCGGGAAUAACUCAAUGGUAGAGUGCAACCUUCCCAAGGUUGACGUUGCGGGUUCGAGCCCCGUUUCCCGCU
rnacentral:tRNA from 1 species